rnacentral:rRNA from 1 species
AACGAACGCUGGCGGCAGGCCUAACACAUGCAAGUCGAGCGCGCCCUUCGGGGUGAGCGGCGGACGGGUGAGUAACGCGUGGGAACGUGCCCUUCUCUGCGGAAUAGCCUCGGGAAACUGAGAGUAAUACCGCAUACGCCCUUUGGGGGAAAGAUUUAUCGGAGAAGGAUCGGCUCGCGUUGGAUUAGGUAGUUGGUGGGGUAAUGGCCCACCAAGCCGACGAUCCAUAGCUGGUUUGAGAGGAUGAUCAGCCACACUGGGACUGAGACACGGCCCAGCCUCCUACGGGAGGCAGCAGUGGGGAAUCUUAGACAAUGGGGGCAACCCUGAUCUAGCCAUGCCGCGUGAGUGAUGAAGGCCUUAGGGUUGUAAAGCUCUUUCAGCUGGGAAGAUAAUGACGGUACCAGCAGAAGAAGCCCCGGCUAACUCCGUG